rnacentral:rRNA from 1 species
GGGUUGUGAGGUUAAGCGACUAAGCGUACACGGUGGAUGCCCUGGCAGUCAGAGGCGAUGAAGGACGUGCUAAUCUGCGAAAAGCGUCGGUAAGGUGAUAUGAACCGUUAUAACCGGCGAUGUCCGAAUGGGGAAACCCAGUGCAAUUCGUUGCACUAUCGUUAACUGAAUACAUAGGUUAACGAGGCGAACCGGGGGAACUGAAACAUCUAAGUACCCCGAGGAAAAGAAAUCAACCGAGAUUCCCCCAGUAGCGGCGAGCGAACGGGGAGCAGCCCAGAGUCUGAAUCAGCUUGUGUGUUAGUGGAACGGUCUGGAAAGUCCGACGGUACAGGGUGAUAGUCCCGUACACCAAAAUGCACAGGCUGUGAACUCGAAGAGUAGGGCGGGACACGUGGUAUCCUGUCUGAAUAUGGGGGACCAUCCUCCAAGGCUAAAUACUCCUGACUGACCGAUAGUGAACCAGUACCGUGAGGGAAAGGCGAAAAGAACCCCGGCGAGGGGAGUGAAAAAGAACCUGAAACCGUGUACGUACAAGCAGUGGGAGCACCUUCGGGUGUGACUGCGUACCUUUUGUAUAAUGGGUCAGCGACUUAUAUUCUGUAGCAAGGUUAACCGUAUAGGGGAGCCGCAGGGAAACCGAGUCUUAACUGGGCGUUAAGUUGCAGGGUAUAGACCCGAAACCCGGUGAUCUAGCCAUGGGCAGGUUGAAGGUUGGGUAACACUAACUGGAGGACCGAACCGACUAAUGUUGAAAAAUUAGCGGAUGACUUGUGGCUGGGGGUGAAAGGCCAAUCAAACCGGGAGAUAGCUGGUUCUCCCCGAAAGCUAUUUAGGUAGCGCCUCGUGAACUCAUCUUCGGGGGUAGAGCACUGUUUCGGCUAGGGGGUCAUCCCGACUUACCAACCCGAUGCAAACUACGAAUACCGAAGAAUGUUAUCACGGGAGACACACGGCGGGUGCUAACGUCCGUCGUGAAGAGGGAAACAACCCAGACCGCCAGCUAAGGUCCCAAAGUCAUGGUUAAGUGGGAAACGAUGUGGGAAGGCACAGACAGCCAGGAUGUUGGCUUAGAAGCAGCCAUCAUUUAAAGAAAGCGUAAUAGCUCACUGGUCGAGUCGGCCUGCGCGGAAGAUGUAACGGGGCUAAACCAUGCACCGAAGCUGCGGCAGCGACACUAUGUGUUGUUGGGUAGGGGAGCGUUCUGUAAGCCUGCGAAGGUGACCUGUGAGGGUUGCUGGAGGUAUCAGAAGUGCGAAUGCUGACAUAAGUAACGAUAAAGCGGGUGAAAAGCCCGCUCGCCGGAAGACCAAGGGUUCCUGUCCAACGUUAAUCGGGGCAGGGUGAGUCGACCCCUAAGGCGAGGCCGAAAGGCGUAGUCGAUGGGAAACAGGUUAAUAUUCCUGUACUUGGUGUUACUGCGAAGGGGGGACGGAGAAGGCUAUGUUAGCCGGGCGACGGUUGUCCCGGUUUAAGCAUGUAGGCUGGUUAUCCAGGCAAAUCCGGAUAAUCAAGGCUGAGGUGUGAUGACGAGGCACUACGGUGCUGAAGUAACAAAUGCCCUGCUUCCAGGAAAAGCCUCUAAGCAUCAGGUAACAUCAAAUCGUACCCCAAACCGACACAGGUGGUCAGGUAGAGAAUACCAAGGCGCUUGAGAGAACUCGGGUGAAGGAACUAGGCAAAAUGGUGCCGUAACUUCGGGAGAAGGCACGCUGGUGUGUAGGUGAAGUCCCUGCGGAUGGAGCUGAGACCAGUCGAAGAUACCAGCUGGCUGCAACUGUUUAUUAAAAACACAGCACUGUGCAAACACGAAAGUGGACGUAUACGGUGUGACGCCUGCCCGGUGCCGGAAGGUUAAUUGAUGGGGUUAUCCGUAAGGAGAAGCUCUUGAUCGAAGCCCCGGUAAACGGCGGCCGUAACUAUAACGGUCCUAAGGUAGCGAAAUUCCUUGUCGGGUAAGUUCCGACCUGCACGAAUGGCGUAAUGAUGGCCAGGCUGUCUCCACCCGAGACUCAGUGAAAUUGAACUCGCUGUGAAGAUGCAGUGUACCCGCGGCAAGACGGAAAGACCCCGUGAACCUUUACUAUAGCUUGACACUGAACAUUGAGCCUUGAUGUGUAGGAUAGGUGGGAGGCUUUGAAGCGUGGACGCCAGUCUGCGUGGAGCCAACCUUGAAAUACCACCCUUUAAUGUUUGAUGUUCUAACGUUGGCCCCUUACCGGGGUUGCGGACAGUGUCUGGUGGGUAGUUUGACUGGGGCGGUCUCCUCCCAAAGCGUAACGGAGGAGCACGAAGGUUAGCUAAUCCUGGUCGGACAUCAGGAGGUUAGUGCAAUGGCAUAAGCUAGCUUGACUGCGAGCGUGACGGCGCGAGCAGGUGCGAAAGCAGGUCAUAGUGAUCCGGUGGUUCUGAAUGGAAGGGCCAUCGCUCAACGGAUAAAAGGUACUCCGGGGAUAACAGGCUGAUACCGCCCAAGAGUUCAUAUCGACGGCGGUGUUUGGCACCUCGAUGUCGGCUCAUCACAUCCUGGGGCUGAAGUAGGUCCCAAGGGUAUGGCUGUUCGCCAUUUAAAGUGGUACGCGAGCUGGGUUUAGAACGUCGUGAGACAGUUCGGUCCCUAUCUGCCGUGGGCGCUGGAGAAUUGAGGGGGGCUGCUCCUAGUACGAGAGGACCGGAGUGGACGCAUCACUGGUGUUCGGGUUGUCAUGCCAAUGGCACUGCCCGGUAGCUAAAUGCGGAAGAGAUAAGUGCUGAAAGCAUCUAAGCACGAAACUUGCCCCGAGAUGAGUUCUCCCUGAGACUUUAAGUCUCCUGAAGGAACGUUAAAGACGAUGACGUUGAUAGGCCGGGUGUGUAAGCGCAGCGAUGCGUUGAGCUAACCGGUACUAAUGAACCGUGAGGCUUAACCUUACAACGCCGAAG